UGGGGAAUAUUGGACAAUGGACCAAAAGUCUGAUCCAGCAAUUCUGUGUGCACGAUGACGUUUUUCGGAAUGUAAAGUGCUUUCAGUUGGGAAGAAAAAAAAUGACGGUACCAACAGAAGAAGUGACGGCUAAAUACGUGCCAGCAGCCGCGGUAAUACGUAUGUCACAAGCGUUAUCCGGAUUUAUUGGGCGUAAAGCGCGUCUAGGUGGUUAUGUAAGUCUGAUGUGAAAAUGCAGGGCUCAACUCUGUAUUGCGUUGGAAACUGCAUGACUAGAGUACUGGAGAGGUAAGCGGAACUACAAGUGUAGAGGUGAAAUUCGUAGAUAUUUGUAGGAAUGCUGAUGGGGAAGCCAGCUUACUGGACAGAUACUGACGCUAAAGCGCGAAAGCGUGGGUAGCAAACAGGAUUAGAUACCCUGGUAGUCCACGCCGUAAACGAUGAUUACUAGGUGUUGGGGGUCGAACCUCAGCGCCCAAGCUAACGCGAUAAGUAAUCCGCCUGGGGAGUACGUACGCAAGUAUG
rnacentral:rRNA from 1 species